UUUCCCUCCUCUGGGGCUUGCUUGCAAGGCGGGGUUGGGUCAAGGUUGGGGCAGCCUCUCUCUUCCUCCCUGCUUGGUGCCUCAGUGACCAGCCAGCUCCCUGCCCCACCCAGCUGGCCCCAGGCCACCGGCCGGGCCUGGGACUCAACUUGCCAACUUACAGCCUGAGGGAGGGCUGGGCUCUUCAAAAACAGCCUCAAAUCAUCCAGGCCGCUGACAGCCACAGGGCAAGCGCCCAGAGCCCAUUCUUUCUGUCUGGCCUCCAUCUCAUCCGGCUAUCCCAGGAUCCCAGGAGUGGCUGUUGAUGGAGCCCUUCCCAUGGACUGGGCCUUUGCACACACAUUGCACCAAAUUCUCACAGCAGCCGAGCCAGGGGCAACACACGGAACGUCUUUCAUCCUGUGGACGGGAAUCACAACAUCCAGCAGUGUCGGGGCUGUUGCAAGAAACUGCCCAGCACAGGACCUGGGCCUUCGCAGUUUAAUCACCUCGUUCCUCUUCCUGCCUGGAGAACGGCAGGGACUGUGUUGUGCUGCUGGUCACCA
ensembl:lncRNA novel transcript